UACAGAGGGUGCAAGCGUUGUUCGGAAUUAUUGGGCGUAAAGCGCGUGUAGGCGGUUUCGCAAGUCGGGUGUGAAAGCCCUCAGCUCAACUGAGGAAGUGCGCCCGAAACUGCGGAGCUUGAGUACCGGAGAGGAUGGUGGAAUUCCCCAAGUAGAGGUGAAAUUCGUAGAUAUGGGGAGGAACACCGGUGGCGAAGGCGACCAUCUGGACGGAUACUGACGCUGAGACGCGAAAGCGUGGGUAGCAAACAGG
rnacentral:rRNA from 1 species